rnacentral:snRNA from 1 species
GAUCAUUGCUUUGGCAGGUCAUAAAUUAAAAUCGGAAAUGACACGGAGAAGAUUAACAUGGCUCCUGCACAAGGCUGACACAAAAAUUUGUGAAGCAUUUCAUACUUGG